rnacentral:rRNA from 1 species
UGCGUAGGCGGCGGGGAAAGUCAGAUGUGAAAUCCGGGAGGCUCAACCUCCGAAUUGCAUCCGAUACUACCUCGCUAGAGAUUUGUAGAGGAGCUUGGAAUUCUCGGUGUAGCAGUGAAAUGCGUAGAUAUCGAGAAGAACGCUCGCAGCGAAGGCGAAGCUCUGGGCAAAUUCUGCGCUGAUGCACGAAGGCGUAGGGGAGACAAACG